UUAAGCCAUGCAUGUCUAAGUAUAAGCUUUUAUACGGCUAAACUGCGAAUGGCUCAUUAAAACAGUUAUAGUUUAUUUGAUGGUCUUUACUACAUGGAUAACCGUGGUAAUUCUAUGGCUAAUACAUGCGCACAUGCCUCUUCCCCUGGAAGGGCAGUGUUUAUUAGAUACAGAACCAACCCACCUUCCGGUGGUCCUCAGGUGAUUCAUAGUAACCGAACGGAUCGCGUUGACUUCGGUCUGCGACGGAUCAUUCAAGUUUCUGACCUAUCAGCUUUCGACGGUACUGUAUUGGACUACCGUGGCAGUGACGGGUAACGGGGAAUUAGGGUUCGAUUCCGGAGAGGGAGCCUGAGAAACGGCUACCACAUCUAAGGAAGGCAGCAGGCGCGCAAAUUACCCAAUCCUGAUUCAGGGAGGUAGUGACAAGAAAUAACAACACUGGAAAUUUCAUUUCUAGUGAUUGG
rnacentral:rRNA from 1 species